rnacentral:lncRNA from 1 species
CUCAACAGUAUUUUCUCUAUGGGAUAGUCUUACAAAAUAAUUGCAAGAUAUAUUGGUCUUCUCAAAAUAAAAAAAACAUUAUUAAACAAUGUUUUCAAAGCAUUUAUCUAGGAUUAAUACUAUUCGCUUCAUUUAAAUACUUCUGGGCUUAACACUAUAUUUUAAUCCGAUAGUGAGAAAGUAGAUUGAUAUAACCUUAUAUAAUACCACACUGCAAGAAAAAAAGAGGCUUUUCUUAAUUUAAAAUUGGUAACAUCCAAAAAGUAAUUAAGGAAACAAGAGCGUCUACUGCUUAAAACACAAGGUUGAGAAAAAAACUUAACAGUACAACAGUAAUAACGACAGCAACAUCUCGCACGUCCUUUUCCGGACCUCCGUCUCACCCACCCUGCUCCCUCUGCCUGAGACCACCUUCUCACCCCGCAGGCUCCUGGGCACAACUCAGCUGCGGGGGGGCUUCUUCCGGAACACGCUGGGCGGCGCCACGCCCAUCCGACUGCCCUUCCGUCGUCCGGGAGGCGGGGGGCGGGGAUUAUUACUGCCAGCACCGGGUGAAGUACACGUGGGACGUCGUCAAAGCCCCUCCGAGGCCCCGACCCCUGACGCGCACCUUCCGGGCAGCCCCGCCCCCACGUGCCUCCCUGCCGCGCAGCUGCGGUGGGCGCCUUCCUUCCUUCACGUUCGCACACUCCUUUCACCUGCCGAGGAAAGGAAAGAGCCCCACGACGUUUAGAGAUUUAGCAUGGAGUCUGAAAUGGGGAAAAUGAGAAUUGCUCUCAAAUCCAGCUGCAAUCAAUCAUCUUGGAAAAUACUCUCGUCCCUGUGAGUGACACAACAUAAUAAUUAAAGUCCUCUUCUGUCAGAAAUUGAAUAGAUUCAGAAACAUUUUUGAUA